GCGCAGAGGGAUAGCUCAGUUGGUAGAGUAUCAGGCUGUUCAUCGCAGAGUCGUGGGUUCAAGCCCCGUGUUGAGUG